UAGGGAAUCUUCCGCAAUGGGCGAAAGCCUGACGGAGCAACGCCGCGUGAGUGAUGAAGGUCUUCGGAUCGUAAAACUCUGUUAUUAGGGAAGAACAAAUGUGUAAGUGACUAUGCACGUCUUGACGGUACCUAAUCAGAAAGCCACGGCUAACUACGUGCCAGCAGCCGCGGUAAUACGUAGGUGGCAAGCGUUAUCCGGAAUUAUUGGGCGUAAAGCGCGCGUAGGCGGUUUUUUAAGUCUGAUGUGAAAGCCCACGGCUCAACCGUGGAGGGUCAUUGGAAACUGGAAAACUUGAGUGUAGAAGAGGAAAGUGGAAUUCCAUGUGUAGCGGUGAAAUGCGCAGAGAUAUGGAGGAACACCAGUGGCGAAGGCGACUUUCUGGUCUGUAACUGACGCUGAUGUGCGAAAGCGUGGGGAUCAAACAGG
rnacentral:rRNA from 1 species